AUUGACUCGAUAACACUCCGGUCGAAACUCUGGCACGCUUUCGACAGGCUACACAGACUAACUACGCUUAGUUCGCACCAACUAUAGCACAGGUGAACCUGACUCAAUGCUCAGACCAAGAGAAUACAAGAUGAAAGAAUG